UACGAGGGGGGCUAGCGUUGUUCGGAAUUACUGGGCGUAAAGCGCGUGUAGGCGGCUUUUUAAGUCGGGGGUGAAAUCCCAGAGCUCAACUCUGGAACUGCCUUCGAUACUGGGAAUCUGGACCCAAGUAGAGGCGAGUGGAAUUGCGAGUGUAGAGGUGAAAUUCGUAGAUAUUCGCAGGAACACCAGUGGCGAAGGCGACUCGCUGGACUUGUGGUGACGCUGAGACGCGAAAGCGUGGGUAGCAAACAGG
rnacentral:rRNA from 1 species